UACGAAGGGGGCUAGCGUUGCUCGGAAUCACUGGGCGUAAAGCGCACGUAGGCGGAUUGUUAAGUCAGGGGUGAAAUCCUGGAGCUCAACUCCAGAACUGCCUUUGAUACUGGCGAUCUUGAGUCCGGGAGAGGUGAGUGGAACUGCGAGUGUAGAGGUGAAAUUCGUAGAUAUUCGCAAGAACACCGAUGGCGAAGGCGGCAUCCUGGACCGGCAUUGACGCUGAGGCGCGAAAGCCAGGGGAGCAAACGGG
rnacentral:rRNA from 1 species